rnacentral:rRNA from 1 species
UAAUACGAACUGUGCGAACGUUAUUCGGAAUCACUGGGCUUAAAGGGUGCGUAGGCGGUCCGCCCAGUCAGGUGUGAAAUCCCCCGGCUCAACCGGGGAAUAGCGCUUGAAACUAGCGGGCUGGAGUGAGGCAGGGGUGUGUGGAACUUCCGGUGGAGCGGUGAAAUGUGUAGAUAUCGGAAGGAACGCCGGUGGCGAAAGCGGCACACUGGGCCUUGUCUGACGCUGAGGCACGAAAGCUAGGGGAGUGAACGGGAUUAGAUACCCCGGUAAUCCUAGCCGUAAACACUGAGCACUGGAGGGGAGGGGCCUCGUGCCUUUUCCCUCGCAGCGAAAGCAUUAAGUGCUCCGCCUGGGGAGUAUGGUCGCAAGGCU